AACGUAGGACGCAAGCGUUAUCCGGAGUUACUGGGCGUAAAGCGCGGGCAGGCGGCUCGAUGCGUCUGAUGUGAAAUCUCCUCGCUCAACGGGGAGAGGCCAUUGGAAACGGUCGGGCUGGAGGGCAGUAGAGGCAGGCGGAAUUCCGGGUGGAGUGGUGAAAUGCGUAGAGAUCCGGAGGAACACCAGAGGCGAAGGCGGCCUGCUGGGCUGCAC
rnacentral:rRNA from 1 species